ensembl:lncRNA
GAGAGAGAUGUCCUACAUGUCAGAUAGAGAGAGAGAGAGAGAUGUCCUACAUGUCAGAUAGAGAGAGAGAUGUCCUACAUGUCAGAUAGAGAGAGAUGUCCUACAUGUCAGAUAGAGAGAGAGAUGUCCUACAUGUCAGAUAGAGAGAGAGAGAUGUCCUACAUGUCAGAUAGAGAGAGAGAGAUGUCCUACAUGUCAGAUAGAGAGAGAGAGAUGUCCUACAUGUCAGAUAGAGAGAGAGAGAUGUCCUACAUGUCAGAUAGAGAGAGAGAUGUCCUACAUGUCAGAGAGAGAGAGAGAGAUGUCCUACAUGUCAGAGAGAGAGAUGUCCUACAUGUCAGAGAGAGAGAGAGAGAGAGAGAUGUCCUACAUGUCGGAGAGAAAGAGAGAGAGAGAGAUGUCCUACAUGUCAGAGAGAGAGAGAGAGAGAUGUCCUACAUGUCAGAGAGAGAGAGAGAGAGAGAUAGAGAUGUCCUACAUGUCAGAGAGAGAGAGAGAGAGAUGUCCUACA